UUUUAUUACAAUAAUGUUUUUAACUACUUAAAUCAAAUCGGUCCAAACAAUAAGAUAAUUCAAAAUUUGGAAAAACCCUAUUAGUAGGGAUCAAUCCAAUAUUCCAAUCUAUUAACCUAUCUAUCUCUAUUUACAUACAUUGUGGUAAGAAAUACGCCCUUCACUCAAAUCCUUUAUGUUUCAUUUUUCUCUUUCAAUGUACAGGGGUUCGCGCUAGUACUUGUUUGAACUCAUUCACCCCAUAAAAGCAUUGUUGACAACAAACAUCACAAUAAGAUGAACCAAAAAUGCACGUAACUGUUAACCCAAAGGGAUUGGCUUGACGCCUUCUCAGCCUCUCCUAAAUUUUCAGGUUUGAAACCUCUCAGUUGCUAUCAACCCCUAAGGGACGAGUAAAAUUU